UGGGGAAUAUUGCACAAUGGAGGGAACUUUGAUGCAGCGACGCCGCGUGAACGAAGAAGGCUUUCGAGUCGUAAAGUUCUUUUAUAUGGGAAGAUAAUGACGGUACCAUAAGAAAAAGCCCCGGCUAACUACGUGCCAGCAGCCGCGGUAAUACGUAGGGGGCUAGCGUUUUCCGGAAUCACUGGGCGUAAAGGGUUCGCAGGCGGAAAUGCAAGUCAGGUGUAAAAGGCAGUAGCUUAACUACUGUAAGCAUUUGAAACUGCAUAUCUUGGGAAGAGGAGAAGUAAGUGGAAUUUUUAGUGUAGCGGUGAAAUGCGUAGAUAUUAAAAAGAAUACCGGUGGCGAAGGCGACUUACUGGGCUCAUUCUGACGCUGAGGAACGAAAGCGUGGGUAGCAAACAGG
rnacentral:rRNA from 1 species